UACAGAGGUCUCAAGCGUUGUUCGGAUUCAUUGGGCGUAAAGGGUGUGUAGGUGGCGCGCUAAGUCGGGUGUGAAAUUUCGGAGCUUAACUCCGAAACUGCAUUCGAUACUGGCGUGCUUGAGGACUGGAGAGGAGACUGAAAUUCAUGGUGUAGCAGUGAAAUGCGUAGAGAUCAUGAGGAAGACCAGUGGCGAAGGCGGGUCUCUGGACAGUUCCUGACGCUGAGGCGCGAAGGCCAGGGGAGCAAACGGG
rnacentral:rRNA from 1 species